UCUCUCAAAACCCACCCUAUCGUCAUUUCCUCUCUCAGAUAUCAGAUCCAGCUAUGAGGUUUCCCUCCUACAAAAAACCCUAACACAAUCUCUUCUAUCAGAUCAGCGAUUGGGUUCCAGAAAAAUCGCUUCAUAACAACCAGUAGUAGCAAUGCGAGAUCACAAGUGGAAUAUAAUAAUUAUGGCCUGAAACAAAGGCAUCAGGAUGUUGAAGCUCAUAUUGCAGACGUACGUGGUUAAACUCGGGUUUUCUUGAUGCCUUUUUUAAUGCUCUGCCAGCUUCCAGAAAUGAAGAAGUGGAAGCAAAUGGGGAAAAAGAUAUUGUUUUACCGGAAUAACAGCUGAUAAAAACGUUGAUGUUCAUGUUCUUGAUACCAAAGUUGGAAAAAGAUUGUUGAAUGUGUAGUUGAGCUUGAAGAGCUUCAGACCACAUCUUCAGUUGUAGACAUGAAAACAGAUGAAAUCAGCUUGCAGACAGUUUAUGUCUGCAAAAACAAACAACACCUUAGGUAUAUCUACUUGAAUCCAGGCUAAGAUUUCCGCCAUGCAUAACAUGUUGGCCAUGCCAGUGGGUAAGAAGCAAAAGCGAAAUUUUAGUACUAUUGUUCAAAAUGUACAAUGAUCAGUUAUAUUCUCAUAUUUAUUAGCUAUUUGAUAUUUAUUUUUCUAUGAAUUAUAGUCGCCUGACAUUAGCAUUUUCGGUUUCUUCAAGAAAAUUUUAAGAUUAUAUUGUUCCAUUAUGAUGGGAAAUUGGAUUGCUGGCAAGAUCUUGAGUGGAACAGCAAAGCCAUACAUGUUGUAGCUCAGAACCGAACAAAGUGCUAAGGAAUUUACAACCUUUGUUUAUCAGAAUCUAUGGUUUUUAUCUGUAGUUAUUGGUAUUGCUAUGAUUUUUGCCUCAUCUACAAUAGGUGAUAUGCAAAGCAGUUUCUGCAUCCAGCAGCUGUUGUGUCUAUAUAUGUUUAUAUAUUUUUCUGGGAUGAAGACCUUGGAAUGCAGCAUUUUAAUCCUAAAAGGUACUUGGAUAUAACUAAAACAGAGGGGUUAGAGAUAUCACAACCAACUUUAGAUCUAAAUUCAACUGAGGAACGAGUGUAUGAUAGCAGAGGCAGUGUGAAAUGUUCAGGUGCGAGUGAUGCCCUUCCAUGUAUUGAAUUUGUAGCAGGAAUGGAUCCAGUUUGUAGAGGGAGGAGCUUCUGAAUAACGGUUUGAGUCCUUGACUUUGUUUUCUAUCUCUCUCUAGAGAAAACCUAGUUCCGCCACCGCCUCUCUCGCUAUUGAUGGCAACCACGCCAAAUCCACCUCCUUCAACCUCUAGGGCUGUUCAAAAAGCUCGUGGCUCGGAGCUCGCUCGAAGCUCACUCGGAUUUAGCUCGGAAAAAGCUCGCUCGAUAUGGCUCGGUUUAAAAGUGAGCCGAGCCGGCUCGGCUCGUAACGAGCCAAGUUGGCUCGGUUUGGCUCGCUUUGUAGCUCGGCUCGGUUUAGCUCGGAUUAUUUUACU
rnacentral:lncRNA from 1 species